GGAGUUUCUAUACUGGUUCACUCUAUACUCUACUUUGCUCUGAUUUGCAUCUUCUUGUUAGCUGUUGGAAUCCACAUGUAUAUUGGUUCAUAAUCAUAAUCACAGCCUUCAUCUUGAUCGGAGAUAUGGAUAUGGAAGAAAUUCAAUUUCUGUGUCUUCUUUAUGGUAAUUCACUUUAUUGUGUUGUGUGGCAAAUCUUAAGAUUUUAUGCUGGUAGUAUAAAAUUGCUGUGAGAAUCAAAUGUAGGGC
rnacentral:misc_RNA from 1 species